AGUUUAAGGAAAUUAUCUUAAAUGAUUUCUGCCCACUGAUUUUUUUUUAAAUGGCCGCAGUACCUUGACUGUGCUAAGGUAGCAUAAUCAAUUGGCUUCUAAUUAGAGUCUGGAAUGAAAGGAAGCAUGAAAUAAUUCUGUCUUAAAAGAAAUUUUUUGAAUUUAUUUAAAUGAUGAAAAUAUCAUUUUUUUAGAAAAAAGACGAGAAGACCCUUAGAGUUUUAACUAAUUUUAGUUUUUGUUGGGGCGAUAAGUAAACAAUUAAACUUUAGUAAUUAAUUUAAAUAUAUCGAUUUUUUUUAAAAAUAAUUAAACUACCUUAGGGAUAACAGCAUUAUUUUUUAAAAUGAUUGUGACCUCGAUGUUGGACUAGGAACUUUAUGGCUAGCCGUCAAAAAAGAUUUGUU
rnacentral:rRNA from 1 species